rnacentral:rRNA from 1 species
GACGAACGCUGGCGGCGUGCUUAACACAUGCAAGUCGAACGAAGAGCGACGGAGGCUUGCUUCUAUCAAUCUUAGUGGCGAACGGGUGAGUAACGCGUAAUCAACCUGCCCUUCAGAGGGGGACAACAGUUGGAAACGACUGCUAAUACCGCAUACGAUCUAAUCUCGGCAUCGAGGAUGGAUGAAAGGUGGCCUAUACAUGUAAGCUAUCACUGAAGGAGGGGAUUGCGUCUGAUUAGCUAGUUGGAGGGGUAACGGCCCACCAAGGCGAUGAUCAGUAGCCGGUCUGAGAGGAUGAACGGCCACAUUGGGACUGAGACACGGCCCAGACUCCUACGGGAGGCAGCAGUGGGGAAUCUUCCGCAAUGGACGAAAGUCUGACGGAGCAACGCCGCGUGAGUGAUGACUGCCUUCGGGUUGUAAAGCUCUGUUAAUCGGGACGAAAGGCCUUCUUGCGAAUAGGGAGAAGGAUUGACGGUACCGGAAUAGAAAGCCACGGCUAACUACGUG